rnacentral:tRNA from 1 species
GGAGCUGUGGCUCAGCGGUAGAGUGCUUGCCUAGCACGCGAAAGGGACUGAGUUUGAUCCUCAGCACCA